GACGAACGCUGGCGGCGUGCUUAACACAUGCAAGUCGAACGGAAAGGCCCUGCUUUUGUGGGGUGCUCGAGUGGCGAACGGGUGAGUAACACGUGAGUAACCUGCCCUUGACUUUGGGAUAACUUCAGGAAACUGGGGCUAAUACCGGAUAGGAGCUCCUGCUGCAUGGUGGGGGUUGGAAAGUUUCGGCGGUUGGGGAUGGACUCGCGGCUUAUCAGCUUGUUGGUGGGGUAGUGGCUUACCAAGGCUUUGACGGGUAGCCGGCCUGAGAGGGUGACCGGCCACAGUGGGACUGGGAUACGGCCCAGACUCCUACGGGAGGCAGCAGUGGGGAAUAGUGCACAAUGGGCGGAAGCCUGAUGCAGCAACGCCGCGUGCGGGAUGACGGCCUUCGGGUUGUAAACCGCUUUCGCCUGUGACGAAGCGUGAGUGACGGUAUGGGUAAAGAAGCACCGGCUAACUACGUG
rnacentral:rRNA from 1 species